rnacentral:rRNA from 1 species
UACAGAGGUCCCAAGCGUUGUUCGGAUUACUGGGCGUAAAGGGUGCGUAGGUGGUGAGGUAAGUCGGAUGUGAAAUCUCCGAGCUCAACUCGGAAAUGGCAUUGGAAACUACCUUGCUCGAGGGUUGGAGGGGGGACUGGAAUUCUCGGUGUAGCAGUGAAAUGCGUAGAUAUCGAGAGGAACACCAGUGGCGAAGGCGAGUCCCUGGACAACUCCUGACACUGAGGCACGAAAGCUAGGGGAGCAAACAGG